CUGGCCUCAAGUGAUCCUCCCAUCUUGGUUUCCCAAAGCACUGGGAUUACAGGUGUGAGCUGCUGUGCCCAGCUCUACAUUUUAAAUCACUGAAAAAGAAUCCAAAGAAGAAUACUAUUUUGUGACAUGUAAAAGUUAGGUAAAAUUCAAAUUUCAGCAUCUAUAAAUAAAAUUGUGUUAUGUUUUUGUUUUAAGACAGGGCCUCGCUCUGUUGCCCAGGCUGGAAUGCGUUGGCUCAAUCUCAGCUCACUGCAGCAUCUACCUCCUGGGGGCCAAGUGAUCCUCCCGCCUCAGCCCCGUAAGUAGCUGGGACCGCACGCGCCACCACCACACCUAGCUAAUCUUGUUUAUUUUUUUUUUUGUAGAGUUGAGGUCUCAUUGUGUUGCCCAGGCUGGUCUCAAACUCCUGGGCUCAAGCAAUCCUCCCACCUCAGACUCCCAAAGUGCUGGGAUUACAGGCAUAAGCCAUUGUGCCCAGGCAUAUAAAUAAAGUUUUAUUGACAUACAGCCACACCCAUUCAUUAAGGAUUGUUGAUGGGUGCUUUUGCACUACAAUGGCAGAGUUGAAUAGUGGUGACAAAGAUGUUUGAUUCACAAAGACUAAACUAUUUACUACUAUUCUGUACAGAAGCUCACUGAGGCUUGGACAAGACACUCCUGGCUUUAGGGUGCAGAGCUCAUACAUUAGUACCUUUGAAGGGGAAGAGAGACUGGGAAGCAACAGUGAGUUAGUGUUGAUGCCUAUAAUACCUUUAUACCUGCUAGGGCUCACUAGGUGCAGGGCACUCUCCUUGUUUUACCUCAUUAAGUCCUGAGGCCUAUGGUUGUCCUUACUUUACAUAUGAGGAAACUGAGGACAGAGAGAAGAGCUAAGGAACUUGCCCAACGUUGCAGAGCUAAUCAGUGGCAGAGAUAGGACUUGAACUCGGGCAGUUUACCUCCAGAAUCUGGGCUGUUAGCACGGCACUCUACCACCUCCCAUGGGGAAGAGGGUGGCUGAUGUUGGUGAUGAACACAGCUGUGGCUUUGUCUGCUGAACCUUGCCUGAGCUACCAUCUCACAUGUCAUAAAAACUGCAGGAUAGGGGCUGGGCAUGGUGGCUCAUGCCUAUAAUCCAAGCACUUUGAGAGGCCAAGGUGGGAGGAUCACUUGAACACAGGUGUUCAAAACCAACCUGGGCAACAUAGCAAGACUCCAUCUGUACAAAAUAAUUUAAAAAAUUGCUGGGCAUGGUGGUGUGUGCCUGUAAUCCCACCUACUUGGGAGGCUGAGGUGGGAGGAUUGCUUGAGCCCAGGAGCAGAGGUUGCAGUGAACAAUGAUCUGCACUGCACUCCAGCCUGAGGGACAGAGUGAGACCCUGACUCAAAACAAAAUAAAGAAAAGAAAAUACAUAAAAAAAUAGAAUUAAUUAAUGUAAGAGCAAACUCUUUGGGGUGAGUUGGUUAGAGGAAAAUAAAUAAUUGAAAAGUUAACUAAUCAGAAAAAAAAAAGGAAGAAAGCUCAAAAACACAAUGUUAGAAACAGAGUGGGUGGGGUUCUGUGGCUCAUACCUGUAAUCCCAGCACUUUGGGAGGCCGAGGUAGAUCACUUGAGGUCAGGAGUUCAAGACCAGCCUGGCCAACAUGGUGAAACCCUGUCUUUACAAAAAAUACAAAAAUUAGCUGGUUAUGGUGGCGCACGCCUGUAAUCCCAGCUACUCGGGAGGCAGAGGCAGGAGAAUUGCUUGAAUUGGGAAGGCAGAGGUUGCAGUGAGCCAAGACCACACCACUGCACCCCAGUCUGGGCAACAGAGUGAGUGAGACUCUGCCUCAAAAACAAACAAACAAAUAAACAAAAAACAAACAAACAAAAAGAAACAGGGUGGAGGAAUAACAUAACAAAGAGGAAAUGAAAUGGCUUUGUACCUUGCAAAACUGUGCAAUUAAAUUUGAAAAUCUGAAUGAAGUAGAUUACUUUCUAGAAAAAUGUAACUAAUUGUCCACAGUUUUAGAACUCUGAAAUAAAACAGUAAGCAGAAACAAAACUGUAAAUGUUAACCAGCUUCCCACCCCAAAUCCACCAGACCCACAGAAGUUUUAGAUAAAGUCUUCCAAAUAGCCAAGAAAUAAGCAAUUCUGCUUCUAUAUAAAUUGUAUCCAGGCACGGAGAAAUAAAAGAUAUUUGAACUUUUUGUCAAAGCCAUAUCAAAACCUGAAAAUCAUGUCACAAAGAACAACUAUAUAACAAAACUCACUUAUGAAUAUCUUAUCUUAAAUAAGAUAGUACCAAAGAAAACCCAGCAUAUUUUAGGAAUGUAGGAAAUGCUGUUUUAGGAAAUCUACUAGUAAGCAACAUUCACUAUACAACUUGGCUUAAAAAAAAAAAAGUGGCAUAAAAUUAUCUCAAAAAUGUAAUGUUAUUAGCAUAGAAUUGACAAAAUAUUCUCUUACAGCUUUCUAAGCCUCCACUGUAUUUUUGGCUAAAGUCUGUGUUUGAUUUCCAUUUUUUUUUUUUUUUUUGAGAUGGAGCUUUGCUCUGUCACCCAAGCUGGAGUGCAGUGGCACGAUCUCAGCUCACUGCAACCUCUGCCUCCUGGGUUCAAACGAUUCUCCUGCCUCAGCCUUCCAAAUAGCUGGGAUUACAAGUGCGUGCCAUCAUGCCUGGUUAAUUUUUGUAUUUUAAUGGAAACGGGGUUUCACCAUGUUGGCCAGGCUAGUCUUGAACUCCUGACCUGAAGUGAUCCACCCGCCUCGGCCUCCCAAAGUGCUGGGAUUACAGGCAUGAGCCGCCUGCCCGGCCUUUAUUUCCAAAUUUUGAAAUAUGUGCUCUAUUUUCCUUGAAAAGUCUCUCUAGAGGUUUUUGUUUGUUUGUUUGGGGUUUUUUUUUUUUUUUUUUCUUUUUGAGAUAGCAUCUCACUCUGUCACCCAGGCCAUGCAGUGGUGUGACCACCGCUCACUGUAGCCUUGACCUCCCAGUCUCAAUCAAUCCUCCUGCCUCAGUCUCCCAAGUAAGUAGCUGGGAACACAGGCAUGCACCACCAUGCCUGGCUAAUUUUUGUAUUUUUUGUAGAAGAUAGCGUUUUGCUAUGUUGCCCAGGCUGUUCUUCAACUUCUGGGGUCAAGUGAUUCUUUGGCCUUUGCCUCCCAAAGUGCUGGGAUUACAGGCGUAAGCCACCACACCCCGCCUCUCUAGAGUUUUAUUUUAUUGAUCUUAUCAAAGACCCAGGUCAUGGUUUUAUUUAACAUUUAUUUCUAUUAUUUGUUUCAGUAAUGUCUGCUUUUAUUAUGUUUGAUUCUGUCUACCUGCUACUUUGGGUCAUUUUGUUCUUUUUCAUACUUCUUUUAUGUGAGACAUUUUAUUUUUAAAAUUAUUUCUGAAUAAAAACACUUAAAAUAACAAUUUUGCCUCUGAUUACAGGGUUGUUCACAUCUUAUCAGUUUUGAAAGGUAGGGUUCCUUUUGUUAUUUUGUACAUAAACAGAAGCUGCCAUUUUAAUUUCCUCUUUCCCCCAAAAUAAUUUCUAUAAAUGAUUUUUUUUUAAUUUUAUUAUUAUACUUUAGGUUUUAGGGUACAUGUGCACAAUGUGCAGGCUUUUUAAAAGUUCUAAAUAUUUUGACUUUUUUGUUAACCUGACGUUAUUUAUUUAUAGUUUGUUUUUAUCAGAUAAUUUGACUUGUGCAAUUUCUGCCUUUGGAAUUUUUUUAAGUUUUUAUUUGGCCUGAUAUAUUAUCAUUUUAAAUACAUGUUCUAUGUAUUUUUGAAAAGCAUAUGUAUUUCUUUUUCUCUUUUUUUUUUUUUUUUGAGAUGGAGUCUCACUCUGUUGCCCAGGCUGGAGUGCAGUGGCACGAUCUUGGCUCACUGCAACCUCCGCCUCCUGGGUUCAAGCAAUUCUCCUGCCUCAGCCUCCUGUGUAGCUGGGAUUACAGGCAUGCGCCACCAUGCCCGGCUAAUUUUUUUUUUGUAUUUUUAGUAGAGAUGGGGUUUCGCCAUGUUGACCAGGCUGGUUUCGAACUCCUGACCUCAGGUGAUCCACCUGCCUUGGCCUCCCAAAGUGCUGGGAUCACAGGCCUGAGCCACCACGCCCGGCCUCAUUUUUCUUUUCUUUUCUUUUUUUUUUUUUUUGAGACAAGGUCUUGUUCUGUCACCCUGGCUAGAGUGCAGUGGUAGUGCAUGGCUCACUGCAGCCUCCAUUUCCCGGGCUCAAGUGAUCCUCCCACCUCAGCCUCCCGAGUAGCUGGGAUCACAGGCACUCACCACCAUGCCUGGCUAAUUUAAAAAAAUUUUUUGUAAAGACAAGGGUCUCCGUAUGUUGCCCAGGCUGGUCUCAAACUCCUGGCUUCAAGUGAUCCUCCUGCCUUGGCCUCUCAAAGUGUUGGGAUUACAGGUGUGAGCCAGGGUACCAGGACUAUAUUUCUUGCUAUGUAUCUAUUAUCUAACAUUUAUUAAUUCUGUUAUUUAAAUCCUGGUUCUUUUGUAUUUUGUUCAGUCAGACUGAGUAUAGUUUGUUAAUCUUUAGCUCAAUUUUAGUUUUGUCAACAAUUCUUAUAUUUCUACUGAAAUAAUUACUCUUUUUUUUGAGACAGAAUUUCACUGUUGUCGCCCAGGCUGGAAUGCAGUGGCACGAUCUUGGCUCGCUGCAACCUCCGCCUCCCAGGUUCAAGCAAUUCUUCUACUUCAGCCUCCCGAGUAGCUGGGAUUACAGGCAUGUGCCACCACGCCUGGCUAACUUUUGUAUUUUUAAUAGAGAUGGGGUUUCACCAUGUUGGCCAGGCUGGUCUCGAACUCCUGACCUCAGGUGAUCCACACGCUUUGGCCUCCCUAAGUGCUGGGAUUACAGGCAUGAGCCACCACGCUUGGCCAUGAAUAACUCUUAAAAGACUUUUCCCCUUAUCUAAGUCCUAUAAUAAAAAUAAAUGGCGAUUAUAGUGAAAAUACUUUAAAACCACAAAGCAGAAUUUUAUGUUUUUUGACAAAAUUUUUUUUCUAUCAGUGUUUUUUUCCCCCUUGUUUUUUUAUUUAUUUAUUUUAUUUUAUUUUAUUUUUUUGAGACAGGAUCUUGUUGUGUCACCCAGACUAGAGUGCAGUGGCACGAUCACUUCUCACUAUAGCCCCUACCUCCUGGGCUCAGGUGUUCCUCCCACCUCAGCCUCCUGAGUAUCGGGGAAUACAGGCGUCUGCCACCAUGCCCAGCUAAAUUUUUGUAUUUUUUGUAGCGAUGGGGUUUUGUCACGUUGCCCGGGCUAGUCUUGAACUCCUGGUCUCAAGUGAUCCACCCGCCCCGGGCUCCCAAAGUGCUGAGAUUACAAGCGUGAGACACUGUGCCCAGCCUUUUCUUUACCUCAUAGAUGUCCAUAAAUGUUUUUGUCUUUGGGGGAGAUUAUACUACCUACUGUGAAAUAAUAUUCUGUCCAAAAUGCUUUUGGUUAUGUGUCUGAUUUUGUUCAAAAUUGGUGAGUUUUAGGUUAAAAUUAGUAAUUUAGUAAAAUUACUGAAAUUUACUUUAAAUUACAGGUGAUUCUUUUUUGUUGUUGUGUGUUUUUUUAUUUUUUAUUUUGUAUUAAUUUUUUUUGAGAAGAAGUCUCA